rnacentral:lncRNA from 1 species
UGAUAUGAAAGAGAUAAAUGGAAGUUUUUUUUAUGUUUACUCAACAAUAACAUGUGUCACUGUUUCAUUAAUCUUUUUGAAUUUUUCUUUUUUUAAAAAAAGAGACCUGGGAUUAUAUUUUCUAAAGAGGUGAGGUGCUGCCCCUAGCCCCUUUGUUCUCAUAUGUUUGUUAUUUUCCUUCUCUUCUUAUUAGUUUAUUUUUUAAAUUUAAUAUUAAUAUAUAAAUUAAUUAGGUUUUUCUUUAUUCUUUUUUAAAA